rnacentral:rRNA from 1 species
AGGGAAUAUUGCGCAAUGGAGGAAACUCUGACGCAGCGACGCCGCGUGAGCGAUGAAGGUUUUCGGAUCGUAAAGCUCUGUCCUUGGGGAAGAAGGUCUUCGGACUUGACGGUACCCAAGAAGAAAGCCCCGGCUAACUACGUGCCAGCAGCCGCGGUAAUACGUAGGGGGCAAGCGUUGUCCGGAAUUAUUGGGCGUAAAGGGUGCGUAGGCGGCCUUUUAAGUCAGACGUGAAAGCCCGCGGCUUAACUGCGGGAUUGCAUUUGAAACUGGGAGGCUUGAGUAUCGGAGAGGGUAGUGGAAUUCCCAGUGUAGCGGUGAAAUGCGUAGAUAUUGGGAGGAACACCAGUGGCGAAGGCGACUGCCUGGACGAAAACUGACGCUGAGGCACGAAAGCUAGGGGAGCAAAC